GACGAACGCUGGCGGCGUGCUUAACACAUGCAAGUCGAACGGAAAGGCCCUGCUUUUGUGGGGUGCUCGAGUGGCGAACGGGUGAGUAACACGUGAGUAGCCUGCCCUUGACUUUGGGAUAACUUCAGGAAACUGGGGCUAAUACCGGAUAGGAGCUCCUGCUGCAUGGUGGGGGUUGGAAAGUUUCGGCGGUUGGGGAUGGACUCGCGGCUUAUCAGCUUGUUGGUGGGGUAGUGGCUUACCAAGGCUUUGACGGGUAGCCGGCCUGAGAGGGUGACCGGCCACAUUGGGACUGAGAUACGGCCCAGACUCCUACGGGAGGCAGCAGUGGGGAAUAUUGCACAAUGGGCGGAAGCCUGAUGCAGCAACGCCGCGUGCGGGAUGACGGCCUUCGGGUUGUAAACCGCUUUCGCCUGUGACGAAGCGUGAGUGACGGUAAUGGGUAAAGAAGCACCGGCUAACUACGUGCCAGCAGCCGCGGUGAUACGUAGGGUGCGAGCGUUGUCCGGAUUUAUUGGGCGUAAAGGGCUCGUAGGUGGUUGAUCGCGUCGGAAGUGUAAUCUUGGGGCUUAACCCUGAGCGUGCUUUCGAUACGGGUUGACUUGAGGAAGGUAGGGGAGAAUGGAAUUCCUGGUGGAGCGGUGGAAUGCGCAGAUAUCAGGAGGAACACCAGUGGCGAAGGCGGUUCUCUGGGCCUUUCCUGACGCUGAGGAGCGAAAGCGUGGGGAGCGAACAGGCUUAGAUACCCUGGUAGUCCACGCUGUAAACGGUGGGUACUAGGUGUGGGGUCCAUUCCACGGGUUCCGUGCCGUAGCUAACGCUUUAAGUACCCCGCCUGGGGAGUACGGCCGCAAGGCUAAAACUCAAAGGAAUUGACGGGGCCCCGCACAAGCGGCGGAGCAUGCGGAUUAAUUCGAUGCAACGCGUAGAACCUUACCUGGGUUUGACAUGGAUCGGGAGUGCUCAGAGAUGGGUGUGCCUCUUUUGGGGUCGGUUCACAGGUGGUGCAUGGCUGCCGUCAGCUCGUGUCGUGAGAUGUUGGGUUAAGUCCCGCAACGAGCGCAACCCUUGUUCACUGUUGCCAGCACGUUAUGGUGGGGACUCAGUGGAGACCGCCGGGGUCAACUCGGAGGAAGGUGGGGAUGACGUCAAGUCAUCACGCCCCUUAUGUCCAGGGCUUCACGCAUGCUACAAUGGCUGGUACAGAGAGUGGCGAGCCUGUGAGGGUGAGCGAAUCUCGGAAAGCCGGUCUCAGUUCGGAUUGGGGUCUGCAACUCGACCUCAUGAAGUCGGAGUCGCUAGUAAUCGCAGAUCAGCAACGCUGCGGUGAAUACGUUCCCGGG
rnacentral:rRNA from 1 species